rnacentral:lncRNA from 1 species
CUUUAUUCUAUAAUAUGUUACUCAAUAGUUAUACAUAAAUAAAUCUUAACAAUACAUCUAUUGGCACCAGAGGAAUUCAUCGUGAAGGGCAAGUCUUCUUUUUAAAACUUAUAUAAACUAUUGUAUUAUAUUCAAGAUAUAAAUUUGGAUUUCUUUAAACUAAUAAAACCCGUACAAACAACUGGUUGUCUCGAAAGAACAUCUACUGAAUUACAAAAAUUUCAUUUUUUCAUUGUAACUAUUCCUUUAUCUUUAUAUAAAUAAGUAUCCACCGCCAUCCCCACCCCUUCUCUCUUCACCCAAGAAAGGAAACUAUGCUAUGAAUGAAUUAAACUAGAGGCUCU